GGAGAGAUGGGUGAGUGGCUGAAACCAGUUGUUUGCUAAACAACCGUACGGGCUAAAACCCGUACCGCGGGUUCAAAUCCCGCUCUCUCCG
rnacentral:tRNA from 1 species